rnacentral:rRNA from 1 species
AGAGUUUGAUCCUGGCUCAGGACGAACGCUGGCGGCGCGCCUAACACAUGCAAGUCGAACGAGCGAGAGAGAGCUUGCUUUCUCAAGCGAGUGGCGAACGGGUGAGUAACGCGUGAGGAACCUGCCUCAAAGAGGGGGACAACAGUUGGAAACGACUGCUAAUACCGCAUAAGCCCACAGCUCGGCAUCGAGCAGAGGGAAAAGGAGCAAUCCGCUUUGAGAUGGCCUCGCGUCCGAUUAGCUAGUUGGUGAGGUAAUGGCCCACCAAGGCGACGAUCGGUAGCCGGACUGAGAGGUUGAACGGCCACAUUGGGACUGAGACACGGCCCAGACUCCUACGGGAGGCAGCAGUGGGGAAUAUUGCACAAUGGGGGAAACCCUGAUGCAGCGACGCCGCGUGGAGGAAGAAGGUCUUCGGAUUGUAAACUCCUGUUGUUGAGGAAGAUAAUGACGGUACUCAACAAGGAAGUGACGGCUAACUACGUGCCAGCAGCCGCGGUAAAACGUAGGUCACAAGCGUUGUCCGGAAUUACUGGGUGUAAAGGGAGCGCAGGCGGGAACACAAGUUGGAAGUGAAAUCUAUGGGCUCAACCCAUAAACUGCUUUCAAAACUGUUCUUCUGNAGUAGUGCAGAGUNAGACGGAAUUCCCGGUGUAGCGGUGGAAUGCGUAGAUAUCGGGAGGAACACCAGUGGCGAAGGCGGCCUACUGGGCACCAACUGACGCUGAGGCUCGAAAGUGUGGGUAGCANACAGGAUUAGAUACNCUGGUAGUCCACACCGUAAACGAUGAUUACUAGGUGUUGGAGGAUUGACCCCUUCAGUGCCGCAGUUAACACAAUAAGUAAUCCACCUGGGGAGUACGACCGCAAGGUUGAAACUCAAAGGAAUUGACGGGGGCCCGCACAAGCAGUGGAGUAUGUGGUUUAAUUCGACGCAACGCGAAGAACCUUACCAAGUCUUGACAUCCCUUGACGAUGCUGGAAACAGUAUUUCUCUUCGGAGCAAGGAGACAGGUGGUGCAUGGUUGUCGUCAGCUCGUGUCGUGAGAUGUUGGGUUAAGUCCCGCAACGAGCGCAACCCUUACUGUCAGUUACUACGCAAGAGGACUCUGGCAGGACUGCCGUUGACAAAACGGAGGAAGGUGGGGAUGACGUCAAAUCAUCAUGCCCUUUAUGACUUGGGCUACACACGUACUACAAUGGCGUUAAACAAAGAGAAGCAAGACCGCGAGGUGGAGCAAAACUCAGAAACAACGUCCCAGUUCGGACUGCAGGCUGCAACUCGCCUGCACGAAGUCGGAAUUGCUAGUAAUCGUGGAUCAGCAUGCCACGGUGAAUACGUUCCCGGGCCUUGACACACCGCCCGUCA